rnacentral:rRNA from 1 species
CAGUCGCCGCGGUAAGACAGAGGAUGCAAGCGUUAUCCGGAAUGAUUGGGCGUAAAGCGUCUGUAGGUGGCUUUUCAAGUCCGCCGUCAAAUCCCAGGGCUCAACCCUGGACAGGCGGUGGAAACUACCAAGCUGGAGUACGGUAGGGGCAGAGGGAAUUUCCAGUGGAGCGGUGAAAUGCGUUGAGAUCGAAAAGAACACCAACAGCGAAAGCACUCUGCUGGGACUACACUGACACUAAGAGACGAAAGCUAGGGGAGCAAAUGGGAUUAGAUACCCCCGUAGUCCCUGUCUCUUAUAC